rnacentral:lncRNA from 1 species
CUUGCAGACGUCAUUCUUAAUCUGUUAUAAAUAGUUUACAUAUUUUAGUUUAAUUUAAUAGUUUAUCUAAAAGAAAGUCUAAGUUAAUAUCUGAAAUUGUAAGAGAGAGCUAUAAUUAUUAUGAGACAUACUUAGGGAGAACUUUCCAAUUUUCCAUGGAAGGCGCCAUUUGAUCUAAAUUCAUAUGAUUGAGCUGACAGUUCUGGAAUCUAUUUCAGACUACGCUGCUACUAAUGCUGAUUUUUUUUAUUUUAUUUGUAACAAUCGAAUUGUUCAAGAACUAAAACUGAUAAAGAACAGGCAAUCAACGGCACGACAUCGACAAGACUUUCAAGAGACUUUGAUUGUUCGACGCCAGUUAAAUUUCAUUAAGAGAAGAACAAAGAGUUUUUUCCAUCUUAGAAAUAUUUUUGCCGAAAACUUCCUGAAGACAUCAAGGUUAACCAUGGGAAAUUCUUCUCGUC